rnacentral:rRNA from 1 species
AACGAACGCUGGCGGCAGGCCUAACACAUGCAAGUCGAGCGCGCCCUUCGGGGUGAGCGGCGGACGGGUGAGUAACGCGUGGGAACGUGCCCUUUUCUACGGAAUAGCCUCGGGAAACUGAGAGUAAUACCGUAUACGCCCUUCGGGGGCAAGAUUUAUCGGAAAAGUAUCGUCCUGCGUUGGAGUAGGUAGUUGGUGGGGUAAUGGCCUGCCAAGCCGACGAUCCAUAGCUGGUUGGAGAGGAUGAUCAGCCACACUGGGACUGGGACACGGCCCAGACUCCUACGGGAGGCAGCAGUGGGGAAUCUUGGACAAUGGGGGCGACCCUGAUCGAGCCAUGCCGGGUGAGUGAUGAAGGCGUUAGGGUUGUAAAGCUCUUUCAGCUGGGAAGAUAAUGACGGUACCAGCAGAAGAAGCCCCGGCUAACUACGUG